CGAGCGCACGACGCAAAGGGAAGCCACUAUCUGAAAGACGGCACAAAAUUCAAGCUUUUAUUUUCAUUGAUAAAUUAGAAGUGAAUUGUUUUGACGGAAGCUGUCAACUUCGUUUGACGCGUCUUCGCUUUGUGUAUUUUGUGGGAAUUGUCCUACAUUAAUCCCGUACUUUACAGACGCGUUGCUGUCAGUCUAGUUAGAGUCCUAGGUAGACAUGCGAGAGCCCGUCUAUUAAAAAUGAUCUGACCAUAUCACUGCAAAGGAGGAGAUUGCUAGUUCAUAUGGUGGAUCUCUUCUGAUGUUUGGUAUGUUGAUGGGUCUGUAUCAUGUCACAUGCAAAGGGCAUUUUAGAUGGAAGUACAAAGGAGCAGACACGUGACUGACUAUUUGGAGCCUUGAAAUGGAGAAGCUAUGUGGAGCAGGCGGUUGAAUGUACUCAGCCAGUGAAUGUACUCCGACAAAGGUCUCUACAUAUGGAGGACGCACUUCCUGCUAAGGUGCAUCCUUCUCCAGCUUCCUAGUUUUCAUCUGGACGGACCUACACUGCAUGGACCAAGAUGGUCCAUUCUAGUCCUUGAGGAGGCCCCUGAUCCAGCUUUACACAGUCUGAGGACUCCACAUGUGUUCUAGAUUCAGUUUUACAAGGAGUAGUCAGACCUAAGGGCCUUGAGCAGUGCUCUGGUCCAGCAGUUAUGUAAUACAACGGUUUGUGUUGGCCACAGCUUGCUGUGAAUGUUUCUAUCCAGAGAGUAGUUGGCUGGCCUAUAUAUCUCAGUUCUGUUCUCGGUUGCCCUCUGUGCUUGGAUGAUUGUUUGAAUAAACACUGGUAAAACCUUUUGAAAUGCAAUGUUAUUCAGUCAGCACAAUCUCCUCUCCAAUGCCAGCACACAUACACAGAGACUACCUUUAUUCAGUUUGUCCAUUUUGUUGUUCCCCUUUGGUGGAACGACCUACCAAGUGCUACCAGAGCAGGGGCGUCCCUCUCUUGCUUCAAGAAGCUUUUGAAGACCCAACUCUUCUGAGAGUACCUUCUUAACACAUCUAACAACCCAAUACACUGAACAUGCACUUACCAUGUACUUUGUUUCUUCCCUCCUACCCCCAGCUCCUUUUCUUACACUUUUACUAAUACUUAAAUAUUGCACUCUCAUCCUUACUAUUUAUUGUAGUAGUAUUGUUACCAAAGUUCUCCUUUGCAAUGGAGCUUGAAUGUUGUUCCUCACUUUGUAAGUUGUUUUGUGUAAAAGCAUCAGCGAAAUAAAUGAAUGUUAUUUCACUAA